AUGGGGUGUUCUAGAGAUAAAGAAGAGAAAUCCUCUUUACCAUUUAAUCAGAAAAAUCAACAAAUUCAAGGUGAAAUUCAUGUAAGUUCCUUGCAUGUUUGAAGAUUUCAACCCUUCAUCACCAUCUAAAUCUAAGUUUGACUCUUGACAAUCUAGAUGGAAGCUUGGAAAGGAAUGAAUCAAAUGGGUCAAGACGUGAGAAAACAUGAUCGGACACAAGGUAACAAAAUGUGAAAGCCAAAUAGAAGCCAGCUGGACAGCAUUGAAGACUUGGAAAAUUGGCUAUAAAAUGACCUAAAAUAAAGAGAUGUUUUUAUUUAAUAAAAUAGGGUUUAUCCCUAUGAA